GAAACCAUAGAGUUACUUGACCAAUCUAGUAUAACCGUUGUGGUCUGUUGCAGGAAAUAGUGCCAGGUGCUUGAGUCGAAAAUAAACUGGCUGAAUGCCCAAAGUGACAGGACAACCAAAAGGCCCUCAUAUGAAAUUUCGCCAUGCGAUGGACGGGAUUUCUAAAAGUGUUUGCUUAAGAUUCGAAUUAUUGCAGGGUUUGUGACAUCAAAAUUCAUUAUGGUAACAAUGCAGGAUUUCGUACGAGUUUGUGUGGCUGUCACGUUAAUCCAUGCACUUCUUGUAUGUGCAUUAGGUGAAUACCCGAGUUACGAAGGACUGC
rnacentral:lncRNA from 1 species